GAUGAAGAACGUGGCGAAAUGCGAUAAGUAAUGUGAAUUGCAGAAUUCAGUGAAUCAUCGAAUCUUUGAACGCAUCUUGCGCUCCUUGGUAUUCCUUGGAGCAUGCCUGUUUGAGUAUCAUGAGCAAAUCUCAAAGUCAAUUCCUUUUGUUGAUUCAAUUGGUUUUGCUUUGGACUUGGAGGCCUUGCAGAUUUCACAGUCUGCUCCUCUUAAAUGCAUUAGCUGGAUCUCAGUAAUUAUGCUUGGUUCCACUCGGCGUGAUAAGUAUCACUCGCUGAGGACACUGUUAAAAAGGUGGCCAGGAAAAUACUGAUUGAACCGCUUCUAACGGUCUAUUAAGUUAGACAAUUACCCUUAAGUUUGAUCUCAAAUCAGGUAGGACUACCCGCUGAACUUAAGCAUAUCAAUAAGCGGAGGA
rnacentral:misc_RNA from 1 species